GAUGAACGCUGGCGGCGUGCUUAACACAUGCAAGUCGAACGGAAAGGCUCCUGCUUGCAGGGGUACUCGAGUGGCGAACGGGUGAGUAACACGUGGGUGAUCUGCCCUGCACUUCGGGAUAAGCCUGGGAAACUGGGUCUAAUACCGGAUAGGACGAUGGUUUGGAUGCCAUUGUGGAAAGUUUUUCGGUGUGGGAUGAGCUCGCGGCCUUUCAGCUUGUUGGUGGGGUAAUGGCCUACCAAGGCGUCGACGGGUAGCCGGCCUGAGAGGGUGUACGGCCACAUUGGGACUGAGAUACGGCCCAGACUCCUACGGGAGGCAGCAGUGGGGAAUAUUGCACAAUGGGCGCAAGCCUGAUGCAGCGACGCCGCGUGGGGGAUGACGGCCUUCGGGUUGUAAACUCCUUUCGCUAGGGACGAAGCGCAAGUGACGGUACCUGGAGAAGAAGCACCGGCUAACUACGUG
rnacentral:rRNA from 1 species